AGGACAUAGUGAUCCGGUGGUUCUGUAUGGAAGGGCCAUCGCUCAACGGAUAAAAGGUACUCUGGGGAUAACAGGCUGAUACCGCCCAAGAGUUCAUAUCGACGGCGGUGUUUGGCACCUCGAUGUCGGCUCAUCUCAUCCUGGGGCUGUAGCCGGUCCCAAGGGUAUGGCUGUUCGCCAUUUAAAGAGGUACGUGAGCUGGGUUUAAAACGUCGUGAGACAGUUUGGUCCCUAUCUUCCGUGGGCGCUGCAGAUUUGAGGAAGCCUGCUCCUAGUACGAGAGGACCGGAGUGGACACACCUCUGGUGUAUCGGUUGUCACGCCAGUGGCAUUGCCGAGUAGCUAAGUGCGGAAGAGAUAACCGCUGAAAGCAUCUAAGCGGGAAACUCGUUCCAAGAUGAGAUCUGCCGGGGCCUUGAGCCCCCUAAAGAGUCGUUCAAGACCAGGACGUUGAUAGGCUGGGUGUGGAAGCGCAGCAAUGCGUUAAGCUAACCAGUACUAAUUGCCCGUAAGGCUUGUCCCU
rnacentral:rRNA from 1 species